UACGUAGGGUGCAAGCGUUGUCCGGAAUUAUUGGGCGUAAAGAGCUCGUAGGCGGUUUGUCGCGUCUGCCGUGAAAGUCCGGGGCUCAACUCCGGAUCUGCGGUGGGUACGGGCAGACUAGAGUGAUGUAGGGGAGACCGGAAUUCCUGGUGUAGCGGUGAAAUGCGCAGAUAUCAGGAGGAACACCGAUGGCGAAGGCAGGUCUCUGGGCAUUAACUGACGCUGAGGAGCGAAAGCAUGGGGAGCGAACAGG
rnacentral:rRNA from 1 species